rnacentral:lncRNA from 1 species
AAAGCUCCACCAACGUUAGCUCCUUGUUGAUACAAUGAUACAAUAAUGGAGAAGUACAGAAUAGGAUGUGAUGGUAUCGGUGGAGGCCGAUUCACCUAGUCGGGGCGUAAAGCCAAAGAUUACAAAAUGUGAAAGUGGAGAAAGUCUGAAGGUUGAAUGCGAAGGCAAAUUGGCAGAGUCCAGGCUAGUGUGCUUGAGAGUUCAUCCCCUUCAUCAUCAUCUUUGAGGGUAUUUAUAGGCAAGAUCCUGUGUAGGAUGGCAUUAACGUGUUAGUCUUGUAAUCAAGCCAUUAUUGCAAGAUGCAUGGGGUAGAUGUUUUUAAUGGGAUGAAAAUGUCUGUAAUGAGACAUAUUCUGUCAUUCAAUCUGAUUUAGAGGUACAGAGCAAUUGAACCCACGUAAGGUUUGAUGACCAAACAGAUCACGUUCCUAACAGAAGGUUGAGUGCUUGAAGGGACAAAUGGUUGGUUUCCUUUAAUGGUUACCUUUCAUUUGUUUGGGUGGCUAGAACGUGCCUUCUCUUGGCGACCUUCAAAUUUGCAUCGGGAGAGGAGUGUCUCU